GGAGAAAGUUCCUGCUCCAGUGAACACCAAAUCCCUAUCAUACUUACCCCAGCAUCCCGGCUGUUACAAAGGAAGUAAAGAAGUGCCGCUGUUACUUUUGGUCUCUGAUGAAAAAAUAACUUGGAUGAUCUUUCUGAGCAGCUGCUCAAAAGUUGUGAACUCAAGAGGAUACCAAGAAAAGGGAAGACUCCUCAAAUCUCUCAGAAAAAUGAUCUGGAACAGAGAAAACCAAAGAGAAAAGACACGCCAGCAAUAAAUUCUCCUCCACCAAUAGCAGGUAAAGCAAAUCUAAGCAAGAAGAGUCAACAGAUUUAAAGUAACAUUCUAUAACUCUUGAACAAAGUAUUUGCAUAAAGAAACUAGAUCUAUUUUUCUGUUUUCCUUUUUUAAGAUGGUUGUUCAAGUCUACAAGU